UCCCUGAUGGUCUAGUGGUUAGGACUCACUGCUUUUACUACUGAGGCUCAGGUUCCAUCCCUGGUCUGGAAA
rnacentral:tRNA from 1 species